GAUGAACGCUAGCGGCAGGCUUAACACAUGCAAGUCGAGGGGCAGCACGAGUAGCAAUACUUGGUAGAGACCGGCGCACGGGUGCGUAACGCGUAUGCAAUCUACCUUUCACAGAGGGAUAGCCCAGAGAAAUUUGGAUUAAUACCUCAUAGUAUAAUGAGUUGGCAUCAACACAUUAUUAAAGUCACAACGGUGAAAGAUGAGCAUGCGUCCCAUUAGCUAGAUGGUAAGGUAACGGCUUACCAUGGCUACGAUGGGUAGGGGUCCUGAGAGGGAGAUCCCCCACACUGGUACUGAGACACGGACCAGACUCCUACGGGAGGCAGCAGUGAGGAAUAUUGGACAAUGGGCGCAAGCCUGAUCCAGCCAUGCCGCGUGCAGGAUGACGGUCCUAUGGAUUGUAAACUGCUUUUGUACAGGAAGAAACACUGGUUCGUGAACCAGCUUGACGGUACUGUAAGAAUAAGGAUCGGCUAACUCCGUG
rnacentral:rRNA from 1 species